rnacentral:tRNA from 1 species
GGCUAUAGCUCAGCGGCAGAGUGCUUGCCUAGCAUGCGUGAGGCACUGGGUUCAAUCCUCAGCACCA